CAACUCUGUACUCCAUUGUAAAACACCAGCACGCCUGCAGCUGUUUAUUGAUACCAUCAACCAAGAGGUGCUUAGUCCCAAAGCCUGGUGAACAAUGAAGGACACUGAUGGGAAAAGUGUGAAGGUUAGAAUCUGUGACUCUGCCUCCAGAAUUCUGCUUGGCAUUUUCACAUAACUGUGUUCAAGACAGAAAGUUCUGAAAAUAAUGGAGCCACCAGCAGACUUCCCCUCCCAUCUCAGUCAGCAUGGAGGCACCAGGCCAGUCUGAGCUAUAGAGAAGCAAAGAAAGAACUGUGUUUCCUUAGUUCCCGCAUUUCCAAGUCUUCAAGAUCAUGAGAGCUGUACCUUUGAGACACCCAAGCACGCUGUCCAGUUGCUGACUCAACUCAGAAGGUCAGGACCACAGAGACAAGCAGACAGUGGAAGUCAGAAAGCUGCAUGUUAAUGUGAAAUUAUUCACUUUUUAAACAUGGGCUGAUGCUGAAGGUCUGAUGCUGAAGCUGAAUCUGCAGAGUCAUUGGAAAAGACCUUGAUGCUGGGAAAGAUUGAAGCCAAAAGGAGAAGGGGGCAGCAGAGAAUGAGAUGGUCAGAUGACAUCACUGACUCAGUGGACAUGAAUUUAGGCAAAAUCCAAGGGAUAGUGAAGGUCAGGGAAACCGGGCAUGCUGCAGCCCAUGGGGUUGCAAAGUCAGAUACGACUUAGCAACUGAACAAUAACAAAACAUGGGCACAUAAUUUGCAAAACAAAAUACUUUAGAAGCCAAACAAAACAUGUCUAUUAAAUGCAGUCUGCAACUCUGGCUAAACUAGUGGCCAACUUGAGCAACACCAGGUAAAAAGAUGUACAGGUAUAUCAUAGAGGAG
ensembl:lncRNA